GACGAACGCUGGCGGCGUGCUUAACACAUGCAAGUCGAACGGAAAGGCCCUGCUUUUGUGGGGUGCUCGAGUGGCGAACGGGUGAGUAACACGUGAGUAACCUGCCCUUGACUUUGGGAUAACUUCAGGAAACUGGGGCUAAUACCGGAUAGGAGCUCCUGCUGCAUGGUGGGGGUUGGAAAGUUUCGGCGGUUGGGGAUGGACUCGCGGCUUAUCAGCUUGUUGGUGGGGUAGUGGUUUACCAGGGCUUUGACGGGUAGCCGGCCUGAGAGGGUGACCGGCGACAUGGGGACUGAGAUACGGCGCAGAAGCCAACGGGAGGCAGCAGGGGGGAAUAUUGCACAAUGGGCGGAAGCCUGAUGCAGAAACGCCGGGUGCGGGAUGACGGGCUUCGGGUUGUAAACCGCUUUCGCCUGUGACGAAGCGUGAGUGACGGUAAUGGGUAAAGAAGCACCGGCUAACUACGUG
rnacentral:rRNA from 1 species